GAAAAUAUAAAGGAUUUUGACUCAGAAUUGGAGUUAGAUUUUUGAGCUGGGCUUUCUUUCCUUUGGCUAUCUUUCAAUCUCUUAUUUAAACUUAUCUUAGAGCUCCAGAUGCUACAGGUUUUCUAGACAACAUUUUCUGCCUUCGAAACCUAUGUUUUUAGGACUCACUAGGAGGAGUAAAUGAGGAUGUAUUUGAUAGAGUUGGUGGUGGAG
rnacentral:lncRNA from 1 species